CCUACGGGAGGCAGCAGUUGGGAAUCUUGGACAAUGGGGGAAACCCUGAUCCAGCCAUGCCGCGUGAGUGAUGAAGGCCUUCGGGUUGUAAAACUCUUUCGACGGGGACGAUAAUGACGGUACCCGUAGAAGAAGCUCCGGCUAACUUCGUGCCAGCAGCCGCGGUAAUACGAAGGGGGCUAGCGUUGUUCGGAAUUACUGGGCGUAAAGCGCGCGCAGGCGGCUAUCCAAGUCAGUGGUGAAAGCCCGGAGCUCAACUCCGGAACUGCCAUUGAAACUGUUUAGCUUGAGGACGAGAGAGGUGAGUGGAAUUCCCAGUGUAGAGGUGAAAUUCGUAGAUAUUGGGAAGAACACCGGUGGCGAAGGCGGCUCACUGGCUCGUAUCUGACGCUCAGGCGCGACAGCGUGGGGAUCAAACAGGAUUAGAUACCCUGGUAGUCCACGCCGUAAACGAUGAAUGCUAGCCGUUGGGUAGCUUGCUAUUCAGUGGCGCAGCUAACGCAUUAAGCAUUCCGCCUGGGGAGUACGGCCGCAAGGUUGAAACUCAAAUGAAUUGACGG
rnacentral:rRNA from 1 species